rnacentral:rRNA from 1 species
UACGGAGGGGGGUUAGCGUUGUUCGGAAUGACUGGGCGUAAAGCGCGCGUAGGCGGAUCAGGAAGUUGGGGGGUGAAAUCCCGGGGCUCAACCCCCGGAAUGGCCUUCAAAAACUCCUGGUCUUGAGUUCGAGAGAGGUGAGUGGAAUUCCCAGUGUAGCGGUGAAAUGCGUAGAUAUUGGGAGGAACACCAGUGGCGAAGGCGGCUCACUGGACCGGAACUGACGCUGAGGCGCGAAAGCGUGGGGAGCAAACAGGG